rnacentral:snoRNA from 1 species
GCCGAUGAUGAUAAAAUAUCACUGAGAUGUGAUGAGCCCUAUGAGUACUGAU